UUGUGAAAGCCCUCGGCUCAACCGAGGAAUUGCUUGACGAACCGCGCGCCUUGAGGCAGGUAGGGGCUGUCGGAACGAUAGGUGGAGUGGUGAAAUGCGUUGAUAUCUAUCGGAACGCCGAAGGAGAAAUCAGGCAGCUGGGCCUGUCCUGACGCUGAGGUACGAAAGCGUGGGUAGCGAACGGGAUUAGAUACCCCGGUAGUCCACGCCGUAAACGAUGUGCACUAGAUCGAGGGGGUUCUGACACCGCCCUUGGUCGAAGCGAAAGUGUUAAGUGCACCGCCUGGGGAGUACGGUCGCAAGGCUAAAACUCAAAGGAAUUGACGGGGGCUCACACAAGCGGUGGAGCAUGUGGCUUAAUUCGAAGCAACGCGAAGAACCUUAUCCUGGGUUUGACAUGCACGGAUUAGCCCGGUGAAAGUCGGGUGACGCUCUUUGAGUGGAACGUGCACAGGUGCUGCAUGGCUGUCGUCAGCUCGUGUCGUGAGAUGUUGGGUUAAGUCCCGCAACGAGCGCAACCCUCGCCCUUAGUUGCCAUCAUUAAGUUGGGCACUCUAGGGGGACUGCCGGUGAUAAGCCGGAGGAAGGUGAGGAUGACGUCAAGUCAUCAUGGCCCUUACGGGCUGGGCUACACACGUGCUACAAUGGUAGUGACAGUGGGCAGCUACUGUGCAAGCAGACGCUAAUCUCAAAAAGCUACCUCAGUUCGGAUUGCACUCUGCAACUCGGGUGCAUGAAGUCGGA
rnacentral:rRNA from 1 species